AACGGCCAUACCAUGCUGAAUAUACCGGUUCUCGUUAGAUCACCGAAGUCAAGCAUCAUUGGGCGCGGUCAGUACUUGGGUGGGUGAACACAUGGGAACACCGCGUGCUGUU
rnacentral:rRNA from 1 species